AUAAAAUACAAAAUUUGUUUGGUCAAUGAAACAGGAAGUUAUGAACUUUUGAAGGAAGUUUUCAAAAUUUUAACGAAUUGAUCACAGGAACAGCUCGGAGUUAGGAAAUGAAUUGGUCAACAAUUUUCGGAACGCUUCUAUAUUGGCACGACUGUAAGCACAUAUGAAGCAGGGCUGAUGGAAUGGGGGAGGGGGUUGAGGACUGUAUCCCCCAAAAAAUACAUCAACAAUCUAAACUAAAUAAAUUUUACUCAAAUAUCUGUGAUAUUUAAAUAUCAGAAUAGCUAGAUAUUUCUUUCAAAAUAUAUUUCUUAUAAAUAGCUAGAUAUUUCUGUAACAAAUAAUUUCAUUAAUCGCAUGAAGAUAGACUCUGAAAAUGCCACUUUCCGAAGAUGGAAAGUACGGUCAUUCUACAGACAUUAAAUUUCAAAAAUUUCUCU